UGUAACAGUUGCUUUUCUUGGCUAUGUAAUUAUUAUCAGCAAAUAACAAUACCUUUGCUUCUAUUCUGAUUUUUGUCUUUUUUUUUUUUUUUGAGACAUAGUCUCGCUCUGUCGCCCAGGCUGGAAUGGAAUGAAGUGAUCUCAGCUCACUGCAACCUCCGCCUCCUGGGUUCAGGUGAUCCUCCCACCUCAGCCUCCUGAGUAGCCGAGAUUACAGGCACCCACCACCGUGCCCGGCUAAUUUUUGUAUUUUCGUAGAGAUGGGGGUUUUACCAUGUUGGCCAGACUGGUCUUGAACUCCUGACCUCAGGUGAUCCACCCACCUCAAUAUCUCAAAGUGCUGGAACUACAGGGGUGGGCCACCAUGCCUGGCUUGAUUUUUGUCUGUUGUUUUUGUUAAUUGCAUUGGUAUUUUGGGAACAAUAUGAUAUAAAUUUAUUUUGUUUUAAAUAGUAAGUAGGAUUCUGGAAAACAAAAGUGCUCCAAUAUACAAAGUACAUUAUCCUGCCUGGAGGUGGAAAUCCAUCAGUGCACAGUGAGCAAAUCAACCCCACCAGCCUCACCGUGCACAGAGGGAACUGGAGUCUCCAGUAACAAGUUGUUACCUCGCACCUGCCCUGCGGCUGGCGCUGCUCUGCGUACCAGGACUCAACCAGAAGCUGAGUCCAUUGUGAUGUGGACCGUACUCACGCAAGCUUUCAGUUUUCAGGGACUCAUGAUGACACUGGGCCCACCAGGAGAAUCCAGGACCAUCUCCUUAUUUUAAGGUGAGCUGAUUAGGAAGCAAUUUUAUCACAAACUUAAUUCUCCCUUGCCUUGUCACAUAACAUAUUCACAGGUUUUAGGGAUUAGGACAUGGACUUCUUAACUAAUCUGCCUAUCAUAAAAUGUUAAUUGGUGCAACUACGUUAGAGAAUAAUGUCAUGUUCUGCUUCCAGGCAUUGUUUUGGAGAAACACUCACCAUAUAUCCAGGGAAGCACCUAAAAGGAUGCUCUUCAUAGCUAUGUCUCCAACAGCAGAACAGUAUUGAAGAACAGCCGGGUUCUCCAUCAGCAGAGGGAAAAAUAAGUACAGUCAGACCUCAUUUUAUUGCAUUUUGCUUUAUUGCACUUUGC
rnacentral:lncRNA from 13 species